GACAGAGGUGCCGAGCGUUAGGCGGAAUCACUGGGCUUAAAGCGUGUGUAGGCGGACUUCUAAGUACCUUGUGAAAUCCCCCGGCUUAACCGGGGAACUGCUUGGUAUACUGGUCGUCUUGAGCCAUCUAGGGGCUGUCGGAACAAAUGGUGGAGCGGUGAAAUGCGUAGAUAUCAUUUGGAACGCCAAUGGUGAAAACAGACAGCUGGGGAUGUGCUGACGCUGAGACACGAAAGCCAGGGGAGCGAACGG
rnacentral:rRNA from 1 species